GUAGGGAGCGAGCGUUAUCCGGAAUUAUUGGGCGUAAAGGGUGCGUAGAUGGCAAUAUAAGUCAUUUGUAAAAAUGCUAGGCUCAACCUAGUAGGGCAAAUGAUACUGUAUGAGCUAGAGUACGGCAGAGGCAAGUGGAACUACAUGUGUAGCGGUAAAAUGCGUAAAUAUAGGUAAGAACACCAGUGGCGAAGGCGGCUUGCUGGGCCGAUACUGACAUUGAGGCACGAAAGCGUGGGGAGC
rnacentral:rRNA from 1 species